AUUGAACGCUGGCGGCAGGCCUAACACAUGCAAGUCGAGCGAGCGGCGGACGGGUGAGUAAUGUCUGGGGAUCUGCCCGCUAGAGGGGGAUAACUACUGGCAACGGUUGCUAAUACCGCAUACUAUCGGAUGAACCCAUAUGGGAUUAGCUAGUAGGUGGGGUAAAGGCUCACCUAGGCGACGAUCUCUAGCUGGUCUGAGAGGAUGAUCAGCCAAAGUGGGACUGAGACACGGCCCAGACGCUGACGGGAGGCAGCGGUGGGGAAUAUUGGACAAUGGGCGCAAGGCUGAUGCAGCCAUGCCGCGUGUAUGAAGAAGGCCAGAGGGUUGUAAAGUACGGUCAGCGGGGAGGCGUUACCCGCAGAAGAAGCACCGGCUAACUCCGUGCCAGCAGCCGCGGUAAUUC
rnacentral:rRNA from 1 species